rnacentral:rRNA from 1 species
GACGAACGCUGGCGGCGUGCCUAAUACAUGCAAGUAGAACGCUGAAGAGAGGAGCUUGCUCUUCUUGGAUGAGUUGCGAACGGGUGAGUAACGCGUAGGUAACCUGCCUUGUAGCGGGGGAUAACUAUUGGAAACGAUAGCUAAUACCGCAUAACAAUGGAUGACACAUGUCAUUUAUUUGAAAGGGGCAAUUGCUCCAUUACAAGAUGGACCUGCGUUGUAUUAGCUAGUAGGUGAGGUAAUGGCUCACCUAGGCGACGAUACAUAGCCGACCUGAGAGGGUGAUCGGCCACACUGGGACUGAGACACGGCCCAGACUCCUACGGGAGGCAGCAGUAGGGAAUCUUCGGCAAUGGGGGCAACCCUGACCGAGCAACGCCGCGUGAGUGCAGAAGGUUUUCGGAUCGUAAAGCUCUGUUGUAAGUCAAGAACGGGUGUGAGAGUGGAAAGUUCACACUGUGACGGUAGCUUACCAGAAAGGGACGGCUAACUACGUG